rnacentral:rRNA from 1 species
AAUUUUUGACAAUGGGGGCAACCCUGAUCCAGCCAUCCCGCGUGUGCGAUGAAUGCCUUCGGGUUGUAAAGCACUAUUGUCAGGGAAGAAAAGGCUCUGGCUAAUACCUCGAGCUGCUGACGGUACCUGCAGAAUAAGCACCUGAUAACUACGUGCCAGCAGCCGCGGUAAUACGUAGGGUGCAAGCGUUAAUCGGAAUUACUGGGCGUAAAGCGUGCGCAGGCGGUUCGGCAAGAAGGAUGUGAAAUCCCAGGGCUUAACCUUGGAACUGCAUUCUUAACUGCCGGGCUAGAGUAUGUCAGAGGGGGGUAGAAUUCCGCGUGUAGCAGUGAAAUGCGUAGAGAUGCGGAGGAAUACCGAUGGCGAAGGCAGCCCCCUAGGAUAAUACUGACGCUCAUGCACGAAAGCGUGGGGAGCAAAC